AGUGAACGCUGGCGGUAGGCCUAACACAUGCAAGUCGAACGGCAGCACAGUAAGAGCUUGCUCUUACGGGUGGCGAGUGGCGGACGGGUGAGGAAUACAUCGGAAUCUACUUUUUCGUGGGGGAUAACGUAGGGAAACUUGCGCUAAUACCGCAUACGACCUACGGGUGAAAGCAGGGGAUCUUCGGACCUUGCGCGAUUGAAUGAGCCGAUGUCGGAUUAGCUAGUUGGCGGGGUAAAGGCCCACCAAGGCGACGAUCCGUAGCUGGUCUGAGAGGAUGAUCAGCCACACUGGAACUGAGACACGGUCCAGACUCCUACGGGAGGCAGCAGUGGGGAAUAUUGGACAAUGGGCGCAAGCCUGAUCCAGCCAUACCGCGUGGGUGAAGAGGGCCUUCGGGUUGUAAAGCCCUUUUGUUGGGAAAGAAAAGCAGCAGGUUAAUACCCCGCUGUUCUGACGGUACCCAAAGAAUAAGCACCGGCUAACUUCGUG
rnacentral:rRNA from 1 species